UGCCAGCAGCCGCGGUAAUACGUAGGUGGCGAGCGUUGUCCGGAUUUACUGGGCGUAAAGGGAGCGUAGGCGGAUUCUUAAGUGGGAUGUGAAAUACUCGGGCUCAACCUGAGUGCUGCAUUCCAAACUGGGAAUCUAGAGUGCAGGAGGGGAGAGUGGAAUUCCUAGUGUAGCGGUGAAAUGCGUAGAGAUUAGGAAGAACACCAGUGGCGAAGGCGACUCUCUGGACUGUAACUGACGCUGAGGCUCGAAAGCGUGGGGAGCAAACAGGAUUAGAUC
rnacentral:rRNA from 1 species